rnacentral:rRNA from 1 species
UGGGGGAUUUUGCACAAUGGGCGCAAGCCUGAUGCAGCGACGCCGCGUGAGGGAUGAAGGCCUUCGGGUUGUAAACCUCUUUCGCUGGGUUGAAAGGCCAUGCUUUGGGUGUGGUUGAUUUGAACUGGUAAAGAAGUACCGGCUAACUACGUGCCAGCAGCCACGGUAAUACGUAGGGUACUAGCGUUGUCCGGAUUUAUUGGGCGUAAAGGGCUUGUAGGUGGUUUGGCGCGUCUGUCGUGAAAUCCUGUGGCUUAACCAUGGGCUUGCGGUGGGUACGGGCAGGCUUGAGUGCGGUAGGGGAGACUGGAAUUCCUGGUGUAGCGGUGGAAUGCGCAGAUAUCAGGAGGAACACCGGUGGCGAAGGCGGGUCUCUGGGCCGUUACUGACACUGAGGAGCGAAAGCGUGGGGAGCGAACAGG